GAAUGGGAUUAGAUACCCCAGUAGUCCUAGCCGUAAACGAUGGAUACUAGGCGUGGCUUGUAUCGACCCGAGCCGUGCCGUAGCUAACGCGUUAAGUAUCCCGCCUGGGGAGUACGCCGGCAACGGUGAAACUCAAAGGAAUUGACGGGGGCCCGCACAAGCGGUGGAGUAUGUGGUUUAAUUCGAUGCAACGCGAAGAACCUUACCAAGGCUUGACAUGUCGCGAAUCUUCUUGAAAGGGAAGAGUGCCUUCGGGAGCGCGAACACAGGUGGUGCAUGGCUGUCGUCAGCUCGUGUCGUGAGAUGUUGGGUUAAGUCCCGCAACGAGCGCAACCCUCGUUUUUAGUUGCCAGCAUUAAGUUGGGCACUCUAGAGAGACUGCCGGUGACAAACCGGAGGAAGGUGGGGAUGACGUCAAGUCAGCAUGCCCCUUACGCCUUGGGCUACACACGUACUACAAUGCUCCGGACAGAGGGCAGCAAGCAUGCGAAUGCAAGCAAAUCCCGUAAACCGGAGCUCAGUUCAGAUCGCGGGCUGCAACUCGCCUGCGUGAAGGAGGAAUCGCUAGUAAUUGCAGGUCAGCAUACUGCAGUGAAUUCGUUCCCGGGCCUUGUACACACCGCCCGUCACACCAUGGAAGCUGGUAGUGCCCGAAGUCAUUACUCCAACCUUUCGGGGAGGAGGAUGCCUAAGGCAGGACUGGUGACUGGGGUGAAGUCGUAACAAGGUAGCCGUACCGGAAGGUGUGGCUGGAUCACCUCCUUUUUAGGGAGACCUACACCCCUCAGAAAUCGAAAAACACACUAGUUUUAGAGAUACUGAGUUGGUCUGACCUAGGUCGGUCGAGAGAUUAGUUCAAAGCUUUCAAAGUAUUAAUGGUUUAGCAAAUAAAAACAUAGUGAGAAAUCAGCAACAUGACUUUGAGAUAAUUUUAGAGUCAGACUGCUGAGUUGAAUCUCAGCCAGAACCUUGAAAACUGCAUAGUAACGCGAAAAUAGCAGGCAGACACAGACAUUCAUUAUGGAUGUAUUUGUGAAUGCAAUCAUGUGAAAGACCAAAUAAAUUGAGUGGUCAAGCGAAUAAGGGCUAACGGUGGAUACCUWGGCACACAGAGGCGADG
rnacentral:sRNA from 1 species